rnacentral:rRNA from 1 species
UACGGAGGGUGCUAGCGUUGUUCGGAAUCACUGGGCGUAAAGCGCGUGUAGGCGGUCUGCUAAGUCUGAUGUGAAAGCCCGGGGCUCACCCCCGGAAGUGCAUUGGAAACUGACAGACUGGAGUCCCGGAGAGGAGGGUGGAAUUCCUGGUGUAGCGGUGAAAUGCGUAGAUAUCGAGAGGAACACCUGCGGCGAAGGCGGGUUGCUGGGCUGACACUGACGCUGAUGCGCGAAAGCCAGGGGAGCGAACGGG